AGAGUUUGAUCAUGGCUCAGAGCGAACGCUGGCGGCGUGCUUAACACAUGCAAGUCGAACGGGUGUAGCAAUACACUCGUGGCGAACGGGUGCGUAACACGUGGAUAACCUUCCUUCAGGUGGGGAAUAACCCAGUGAAAAUUGGGCUAAUACCGCAUAACAAAACGAGGGCACAUGCUUUUGUCUUCAAAGCCGCAAGG
rnacentral:rRNA from 1 species